rnacentral:rRNA from 1 species
GACGGAGGAUGCAAGCGUUAUCCGGAAUGAUUGGGCGUAAAGCGUCCGCAGGUGGCUGUGUAAGUCUGCUGUUAAAGAGUCUAGCUCAACUAGAUACAAGCAGUGGAAACUACACGGCUAGAGUACGUUCGGGGCAGAGGGAAUUCCUGGUGUAGCGGUGAAAUGCGUAGAGAUCAGGAAGAACACCGGUGGCGAAGGCGCUCUGCUAGGCCGUAACUGACACUGAGGGACGAAAGCUAGGGGAGCGAAUGGG